rnacentral:rRNA from 1 species
CAGUAGCCGCGGUAAUACGAAGGGGGCUAGCGUUGCUCGGAAUGACUGGGUGUAAAGGGCGCGUAGGCGGCACAGACAGUCAGAAGUGAAAUUCCUGGGCUCAACCUGGGGACUGCUUUUGAUACGUCUGAGCUAGAGUGGAGAAGAGGGUUGUGGAAUUUCCAGUGUAGAGGUGAAAUUCGUAGAUAUUGGAAAGAACACCGGUGGCGAAGGCGGCAACCUGGUCUUUUACUGACGCUGAGGCGCGAAAGCGUAGGGAGCAAACAGGAUUAGAUACCCCGGUAGUCCCUGUCUCUUAUAC